rnacentral:rRNA from 1 species
GUAGGGGCCGAACGUUGUCCGGAUUUAUUGGGCGUAAAGGGCUCGUAGGCGGUUUGACAAGUCGGUCGUGAAAGCCCGGGGCUCAACCCCGGGACGCCGGUCGAAACUGUCAUGACUAGGGUCCGGUAGAGGUGAGUGGAAUUCUUGGUGUAGCGGUGAAAUGCGCAGAUAUCGAGAGGAACACCAUUAGCGAAGGCGGCUCACUGGGCCGGUACCGACGCUGAGGAGCGAAAGCGUGGGGAGCAAACAGGAUUAGAUACCCUGGGUAGUCCACGCCGUAAACGUUGAACACUAGGUGUGGGGGACUUAUCCCACGUCUCCCUGUGCCGCAGCUAACGCAUUAAGUGUUCCGCCUGGGAAGUACGGCCGCAAGGCUA